rnacentral:tRNA from 4 species
CGGGGCGUAGCGCAGCCAGGAAGCGCACCUGAAUGGGGUUCAGGUGGUCGGAGGUUCAAAUCCUCUCGCCCCGACCA